GAGGAAGGUGGAUAUGUUAAUAGCAUAUUCAUUUGACGUUAGCUGCUAGAAGAAGCACCGGCUAACUCCGUGCCAGCAGCCGCGGUAAUACGGAGGGUGCGAGCGUUAAUCGGAAUUACUGGGCGUAAAGCGCAUGCAGGUGGUUUGUUAAGUCAGAUGUGAAAAGCCCGGGGCUCAACCUCGGAAUUGCAUUUGAAACUGGCAAACUAGAGUACUGUAGAGGGGGUAGAAUUUCAGGUGUAGCGGUGAAAAUGCGUAGAGAUCUGAAGGAAUACCGGUGGCGAAGGCGGCCCCCCUGGACAGAUACUGACACUCAGAUGCGAAAGCGUGGGGAGCAAACAGGAUUAUAUACCCUGGUAG
rnacentral:rRNA from 1 species